rnacentral:rRNA from 1 species
UGCAGUCGAGCGGACAGAUGGGAGCUUGCUCCCUGAUGUUAGCGGCGGACGGGUGAGUAACACGUGGGUAACCUGCCUGUAAGACUGGGAUAACUCCGGGAAACCGGGGCUAAUACCGGAUGCUUGUUUGAACCGCAUGGUUCAAACAUAAAAGGUGGCUUCGGCUACCACUUACAGAUGGACCCGCGGCGCAUUAGCUAGUUGGUGAGGUAACGGCUCACCAAGGCAACGAUGCGUAGCCGACCUGAGAGGGUGAUCGGCCACACUGGGACUGAGACACGGCCCAGACUCCUACGGGAGGCAGCAGUAGGGAAUCUUCCGCAAUGGACGAAAGUCUGACGGAGCAACGCCGCGUGAGUGAUGAAGGUUUUCGGAUCGUAAAGCUCUGUUGUUAGGGAAGAACAAGUACCGUUCGAAUAGGGCGGUACCUUGACGGUACCUAACCAGAAAGCCACGGCUAACUACGUGCCAGCAGCCGCGGUAAUACGUAGGUGGCAAGCGUUGUCCGGAAUUAUUGGGCGUAAAGGGCUCGCAGGCGGUUCCUUAAGUCUGAUGUGAAAGCCCCCGGCUCAACCGGGGAGGGUCAUUGGAAACUGGGGAACUUGAGUGCAGAAGAGGAGAGUGGAAUUCCACGUGUAGCGGUGAAAUGCGUAGAGAUGUGGAGGAACACCAGUGGCGAAGGCGACUCUCUGGUCUGUAACUGACGCUGAGGAGCGAAAGCGUGGGGAGCGAACAGGAUUAGAUACCCUGGUAGUCCACGCCGUAAACGAUGAGUGCUAAGUGUUAGGGGGUUUCCGCCCCUUAGUGCUGCAGCUAACGCAUUAAGCACUCCGCCUGGGGAGUACGGUCGCAAGACUGAAACUCAAAGGAAUUGACGGGGGCCCGCACAAGCGGUGGAGCAUGUGGUUUAAUUCGAAGCAACGCGAAGAACCUUACCAGGUCUUGACAUCCUCUGACAAUCCUAGAGAUAGGACGUCCCCUUCGGGGGCAGAGUGACAGGUGGUGCAUGGUUGUCGUCAGCUCGUGUCGUGAGAUGUUGGGUUAAGUCCCGCAACGAGCGCAACCCUUGAUCUUAGUUGCCAGCAUUCAGUUGGGCACUCUAAGGUGACUGCCGGUGACAAACCGGAGGAAGGUGGGGAUGACGUCAAAUCAUCAUGCCCCUUAUGACCUGGGCUACACACGUGCUACAAUGGACAGAACAAAGGGCAGCGAAACCGCGAGGUUAAGCCAAUCCCACAAAUCUGUUCUCAGUUCGGAUCGCAGUCUGCAACUCGACUGCGUGAAGCNGGAAUCGCUAGUAAUCGNNGAUCAGC